CAAAUUCUGAAUCUUGCAAGUACUCUUUGGGAGAAUCUUAAUAUUGUAAUUGGAAGAAAGGUCAAGGUACCUCAAAUGUUUCAACUUACAAAUGGAGGGUGAAAUCUUUUGAAUACCUAUAGAAUAUAAUUUCAAUACACGCAAGCAUCUACAAUUUGCAAUUAUCAAAUCCCAACUUUCUUCACUAAAAUCUUGAUAUAUGCUGUUUGGAAAGUGUAACAAGGUUCGCAACUUCUUUCCCUUAAACAAAGGAAUUAAUGAAGGAAUUAAUAAAGGAUUAAUUGAUAUGUGGCGACAUUUUUCACCAACAUCACCUGCAAUUUUAUUUGAAUCUACAAUACUACUCUCCAUCCCUGCUACUGAUUCAGCUAGAUCUUGCAUUAAAUCAUGCAUUUUACAUCUCAUAUCCCCAAUUCCAUAUUCUUCUACCUCUUGAAAGAAACUCCUGUCAACUAAAUCUUUAAAAUACCCAAACCCGAUCUCCUCCAGAGAUUGACUUUGAUUCAAUUGCUUUAUGAAACCCUGUGCAAUCCAAAAUUGAACAAGCGCUUGCACUUGAAUUGUGUAAUCUGUUGGAUACAGUCGGCAAUAAGCAAAGCAAUGCUUCAAAUGAGACGGGAGAUGAUCAUAACUCAAUUUCAGUAUAGGUAGAAUUUCUCCUUCAAUUUGUGAAAUUUUAGCAAGUUCAUUUUCUUUGAAAGAAUGCCACUCAUUUGCAGUUUUCUUCUAAGAUAAUGUACCAGCUAUCGUCCUUAUGGCUAAGAGAACCCCACCACACCUUUCCGAAAUCUGUCUCCCUACUUCCACAAAGGCUGAAUUUGUUGAGUCUGCAUAUCCUUGCUCAAAUGCUAUCUUUUUGAACAAAGACCAAGCAUCAUCAUCAGACAAGCCUUUCAAUUUCAAAACAUGGGAUUGACAUUUAUUAGUUAUCUCCGCUACCCUUAGAGAUCGAGUAGUUACUAUUAUCCUACUCCCUUUAGCCCCACCCAUCAAUAACUUCUUUAGCCUAGAUGUUGAAGUCAGCUCCCAUAUAGCAGCAAAGGUGGCCAUGCAAGGAACGUGCUUCAGCAGCAAAUUGAUGCAGCAAGCUGAAGCUAUUCAUUUGGUUUCCUUAAUUGAAUGUUUUGUAUUUAGUUAGGAUCAAACUUAGUUGGUAGCUGCAUUUUGAUGUAAUUAGGUGCUGAAUGACAAGCUUAGGUAGAAGCUUUUUUGUUUUUCAAUCAAGUUUACCAAGUUACUAGGCAUUUUAGUGGUGUUAGGUAUGUUAGUAGGUGAUUACUUGUUUGUUUUACUUAUUGACUGAUAUAUGUAAUGGCUUAAUGCCUUGUUCAUGUGUUAAUGAAAAAUAUCAGCUCAUUUUCAUUCAAUCUCUUUCUCUCUUUUCUGUUUUCACUUGCUAGCUUCAUCUUUCUAUUUUUUCUGCUUCCGAGUUUGCUUCUUCACCAAGCCUCGAGCCUUACUACUCAAGCAAGACUAGAAACAGCUUGCUGCUGCCUCUUGCACCAACAAUUGGUAUCGAGAGCUCUUGUCUUAGUGGACCUGUUGCUUCAAAACAAAGAACUUGAUGGCUUCUUCAGGAUUUUCACCAGCAGCCCCACCAGUCUUCAAUGGAGAAGGCUUUCACAUAUGGCUGGUCAAGAUGAAGACUUACCUACAGGCUUUUGAUCUGUGGGAAGUUGUCAACACAGAUACUGAGCCAGCACCACUGAGGGCUAAUCCCACAGUAGCUCAGAUUAGGCAACAUGCUGAUGAGAGGACCAAAAGGCACAAAGCCAUGUCCUGCAUCCAGAACUGUGUGUCAGAUGUCAUCUUCACCAGAAUCAUGGCCUGUGAGACUCCAAAACAGGCCUGGGAUAAGCUUAAGGAGGAGUUUCAAGGCACUGAGAGAACAAGGCAACAGCAGCUGCUAAACUUGAGAAGGGAUUUCGAGAAUUUGAAGAUGAAGGAAGAAGAAACAGUGAAGCAGUACUCAGAUAGAAUUAUGGCAGUGGUUAACAGCAUAAGGCUCCUAGGUGAGCACUUUGAUGAGGCAAGAAUUGUGGAGAAAGUCCUCUCCACUUUGCCUGAGAGAUAUGAGGCCAAGAUAUCCUCUCUAGAGGACUCAAGAGAUCUUGCUAGCAUCUCUUUGACUGAGCUAAUCAACACCUUUUAUGCUCAGGAACAAAGAAGAGCUAGCAGAGCUGAAGAUCACCAAGAAGGUGCAUUUCAAGCCAAGGCCAGAGAAACCUCGAGCACUAAUGCUCAAAGAGGCAAAAGGCCUUGGAAAAACAGGCCUAAGCCUGAUGCUGCAAGGAGCAAUGACCAGCCCUGCAAAUAUUGCAAGAAGCCUGGCCAUCCAGAAGACAGAUGCUGGUUUAGGCCAGAUGCAGUAUGCCAACACUGCAAGAAGAAGGGCCAUGUUGAAAGGGUCUGCAAAAACAGAAGUAAGCCAAGGCAGAAUCAAUUUCAGCAGUCAAAGGUUGAAGCUCGAGUAGCUGAGGACAGUAGUGACCAAGAAGAACAGGUCUUUGCUGUUUCCUGUGUAGCUUCUGAGAAGAAAUGCUCUAAAGGCUGGCUGCUGGACAGUGGUUGCACUAACCACAUGUCACCAGAUGCCUCCUUGUUUAAAACCUUGGACAGAAGUUAUAAAACCAAGGUCAAGGUUGGACAUGGUCAGUUUAUAAGGGCUGAAGGAAGAGGAGAAGUGCUGAUAUCUACUCCCACAGGCAACAAGAUCAUUCCAAAUGUGCUGUUGGUACCACAGAUUGACAGAAACCUUCUCAGCAUAGCUCAACUGCUCGAGAAAGGUUAUUCUGUUGUGUUCAAGGAUAAACAAUGCCAUAUUACUGAUCCAAGUGGAUCAAGCCUUAUGACAGUCACAAUGACUGAUAAAUGCUUUGAGGUUCACUGGGCAAAUGACUCAAACUCAGCAUACACAGCCUCUGUUGAAGACUCCAAGCUUUGGCAUCAAAGGCUUGGACAUGCCAACUUCAGAUCAAUGGCUCGAUUGGCCAAAGAGGGCAUGGCAGAGAACUUCACCAGCUCAGUGGAGCAUGAUGAUGUGUGUGAAGUCUGCCAAAUGGGGAAACAGGCAAGACUGCCAUUUCCUACAAAUUCAGCUUGGAGAGCUACUGAAAGACUACAGCUGGUGCACUCUGAUGUAUGUGGCCCGAUGAGGACUGAAUCACUCAGCAAAAACAGGUAUCUCAUCCUCUUUAUUGAUGAUCUUACAAGGUUUUGCUGGAUUUUCUUUUUAAAACACAAGUCUGAGGUAGCUCAAGUGUUUGUGAAGUUUAAAAAUGCUGUAGAAACAGAAACAGGUUGCAAGCUGAAAUCGAUAAGGACAGACAAUGGCACUGAGUACACUUCAGCUCAGUUUCAAGCCAUUUGCAAUGAUGCUGGUAUCAAACAUCAGCUUACAAAUGUCUACACACCUCAGCAGAAUGGGGUAGCUGAAAGAAAGAAUAGAAGUCUGAUGGAUAUGGCCAGAUGUCUGCUGUUUGAGAAGAAACUGCCCAAGACCAUGUGGGCUGAGGCAGUAAACACUGCUGUUUACCUUCAGAACAGGCUUCCCACUAAAGCUCUUGCAUCCGAGACACCUUUUGAGGCUUGGUUUGGUUUCAAGCCUUCCUUGGCACACCUGAAGGUGUUUGGUUGCCUGUGUUAUGCACAAAUACCAGCAGCAAAGAGAGACAAGCUCUCUAAAAGGGCUCAACCAGGUGUUCUAGUAGGCUACAGCUCAGUCAAAAAGGGCUACAGGGUUCUGGAUCCCUUGACAAACAAAGUCCAAGUGAGCAGAGAUGUCAUCUUUGAUGAAAAAGCCUGCUGGAAUUGGGAGAAAAAUGAGCCAGAAGCAAUUUCAGAAGACCUAGUGACUAAUCAAGCUGAACUUGAGCAGCUAGAACCUGAAAUGGAUGUUGAUGAUGUGCCUGUGAGAGGCACAAGGCCCCUAGAAGAUAUUUAUGAAAGGGCACAGGUUGCAUUAGCAGAACCUAGCAGUUUUGAAGAGGCUGAGGCAGAUGAAGGUUGGAAACAAGCUAUGGUUGAUGAAAUCAACAUGAUUGUAAAGAAUCAGACAUGGGAGUUGGUUGAAAAGCCUGCCAACAGAAAGACUAUCAGUGUAAAAUGGGUCUAUCGAGUGAAGCACAAUGCAGAUGGAAGCUUAAACAAGCUAAAGGCCAGGCUAGUUGUAAAGGGCUUCAGUCAAAGGUAUGGUCUGGACUACAUGGAAACAUUUGCUCCAGUAGCCAGACUCGAUACAAUCAGAUUGCUGAUUGCAGUUGCUGCUCAGAACCAGUGGACAAUCCACCAAAUGGAUGUCAAGUCUGCAUUCCUCAAUGGAUUUCUAGAAGAAGAGAUAUACAUCGAGCAACCCCCAGGUUUUAUAAUGCCUGGUAAGGAACAAUUGGUGUAUAGGCUAAGAAAGGCCUUGUAUGGCCUAAAACAGGCCCCUCGAGCCUGGUAUGCUCGAAUUGACUCAUAUUUGGUCAGUUUGGGAUUUGAAAGGAGUGCUAGUGAGCCAACACUCUAUGUUAAGAAGAAUGGAGCUGAAACACAGCUUAUUGUGUCACUAUAUGUUGAUGAUCUUCUCGUGACUGGAGGAGACAAGCUUAUGAUGGUUGAUUUCAAAGCAAGAAUGAAGAAAAUGUUUGAGAUGUCAGACCUGGGAUUGAUGACAUAUUUCCUAGGAAUGGAAGUCAAUCAAAUAGAAGGAGGAAUCUUCUUGAAACAAAAGACAUUUGCCUUGAAAGUGCUGGCUAAAUUCUCAAUGGAGAAUUGUAAACCAGUGAGCACACCAAUGGCUAUUGGCAUAAAGCUAUCGAGCCAGGAGGAACAUGAAUCUGUCUGUGAAACAGAUUACAGAAGCCUUGUUGGGUGUUUAUUGUAUUUGACAGCAACAAGACCCGACAUUUUGUUUGCUGUAAGCAUGCUAUCAAGGUUCAUGCACUGCUGUAACCAGCAACAUUACAAGGCUGGGAAAAGGGUGCUAAGAUACAUUAAAGGUACCUUAAACCAUGGAAUACAGUUUAGAAAGGCUGAAGAGUUGAAACUGAUUGGCUACACUGAUAGCGAUUGGGCUGGUUCAAAGGAUGACAUGAAGAGCACUUCUGGCUAUGCUUUUACACUUGGCUCAGCUAUGAUUUGUUGGAGCUCAAGAAAACAAACAAUGGUGGCUCAAUCGACAGCAGAAGCAGAGUAUGUAGCAGCUGCCAAUGCUGUUAAUCAAGCCAUGUGGCUGAGAAAAAUUUUGAGUGACUUGAAUCUACAGCAGAAUGAAGCAACUGUGAUACAUUGUGACAACAAGUCAGCAGUUGCUAUUGCUAAAAAUCCUGUCUUUCAUGGCAGGACAAAACAUUUCAACAUCAAACUCCAUGUGAUAAGAGAAAUGGAACAAGCUCGAGAAAUUGAGCUAAUCCAUUGCAGUUCUGAAAAUCAGAUUGCCGAUAUCUUCACAAAGCCUAUUGGUGUAUCAAGAUAUCUAAGCCUGAAGAGGAAGCUAGGAGUCUGCUGCAUAGAAGCUGAGGAGGAGUGUUGAAGUCAGCUCCCAUAUAGCAGCAAAGGUGGCCAUGCAAGGAACGUGCUUCAGCAGCAAAUUGAUGCAGCAAGCUGAAGCUAUUCAUUUGGUUUCCUUAAUUGAAUGUUUUGUAUUUAGUUAGGAUCAAACUUAGUUGGUAGCUGCAUUUUGAUGUAAUUAGGUGCUGAAUGACAAGCUUAGGUAGAAGCUUUUUUGUUUUUCAAUCAAGUUUACCAAGUUACUAGGCAUUUUAGUGGUGUUAGGUAUGUUAGUAGGUGAUUACUUGUUUGUUUUACUUAUUGACUGAUAUAUGUAAUGGCUUAAUGCCUUGUUCAUGUGUUAAUGAAAAAUAUCAGCUCAUUUUCAUUCAAUCUCUUUCUCUCUUUUCUGUUUUCACUUGCUAGCUUCAUCUUUCUGUUUUUUCUGCUUCCGAGUUUGCUUCUUCACCAAGCCUCGAGCCUUACUACUCAAGCAAGACUAGAAACAGCUUGCUGCUGCCUCUUGCACCAACACUAGACCACCUUUCUGGGUCCUCAUUCCAAAUGUCAUCCAAAACAAGCAAAUAUUUUUUCCCAUCAAUUUUAUCUCGAAGUUGUUUUUGCAGUUGAUCCAUUUCAAGAUUUUGAUCAGGUGCUUGAUGAGUCACAGAUUUGAUAAUGUUUGCUACAAUAACUUUCACAUCAAAAUCAUCUGAAACACACGCAAACAUCGUUAAGUCAAUUGAAGCUAAUCUCGCCAUAAUGGCCUUCAUUUUCCGACCCAUUUUGAGACCAUAAGCAAAUUGGUUUGAGCUCGAGAAGAAAAGGCGUACCUCUUUCGUCAGCUUGUUCCCACCCAUUAGAUCUUUCCGCAAAGCUUCGGUAGAGAAAUCAUCGAGCAAGUCGUCAGCAUCGUAAAGUACAUCUUUCAGCUUUUCAAGCCAAUCUUUGACGAGAUGGCUGGUCACGGAUCGCUCUUCUGCGUCAAGAAGCACAGCUUUGAUUGUAGAGACGGUGCUUUUGAGGUCGUCAAGGUCAUGUUUUAGAUUCCACCACAGCCCAACUUGAGAGAGAGCACGAGAGCUCAACUUAAUAAUGAGCUCUGCGGCAAUGUCGAAAGCAAUUGCUUCGGCCAUUGUUGGUUCGAACUGAAAUCAAGGCAAAAAGUGUUUGAUUCGUGAGAGAGGACUAAAAUGAGAAUGAUCCCAGCAAGAUGAAACACAGAUGUGGAUCCAUCCACCCAGCAAGUAGUAUAAUUAAAUAAAAAGUAAUGUUGAUUGGUGGGAAAUGGUCCGUCCAUGUUUACUGUUUGACACAAAUUUCUGAAUGGAGACAAAGUUGAGAUGAUGGCACUAGGGGUGCUCUGCACAACGUACAAAUAAUUGAAAUUAAUGAAAAAGGUAUGAAAGAAAAGAGAAAAAGGAGACAAGUCCCAUGGAAUCCAAGGUGUUUUGAUUGAAGUCUUUCUAAACCUUCUUCCCACUUACUUUGUGUAAUUGAGUGAGUCUCAAUACUCGGUUAAAUUCAAUAUUUUAUUUUUGAGUUUAACUUUGGUUGAAUAUAUAAAAUAAAAAUUCAAUAAAACUCAUUCGCCAUUAGAAUCAAAUAUUAUUAAAUUCGAAUCCGAUUAAAUCAAUAAUUUAAACAUAACUUAAUGACUACUAAAUCAAAUUUAAAUCUUUUUUUAAUCGAAUUUAAUUAACUUACAAAUGAUUAUCAUGUCCACCUUUCUCACCCACCUACUUAGCUUUGAUUUUGUCUUUUAAAGUAACUUGGUGUCUAUAAUUAUAUAUUACGACAAUAGUUACUGUUAUAAUUGUUUGUCUAUGCAAUAUAUCAAAGUAAAAUAUAAGAGUUUAACAUUUGUUAACCCUGUUAUAAAAAUUUAAUUUAACUCUUUAAAAAUUAUAAAGAUAUAUUACUAUAAAAAUAUAUAAUUUAAUUCCAACUAAAAUUUUUUUUAGCUUGGCUACUAUUGAAAAAUUAAUUUAGUUUUUGAACACAACAUGUGGAAAGAUAUUGGGUUUAUGUCAGCUCCAUGGGAAUGUAUUUAAUUGGUAUUGAAGGAAAAAUCAUUACUUAUACCAUCAUGAAGAUUGCUUCCACUGCUCAUAUCUAUUUUAUUAUUUUAUUACACAUAAAAUUGUUUUAUUGUGAGUUGGAUGAUUUUGGUUUUUUUUUAAGAUAUUUUAUUUUUAAAUAUAUUUUUAAAUAUUUAUUUUACAUAUACAUGUAUUUUAACUUAAUACAUUUAAUAGUAUUUUUUUAUAAUAAAAAAACCCAAAGGUCGCUACCUCAUUUUAAGUUGCAUCAUAAAUUACAAUGUUAUGAUUAUCGAUCACUAAGAUAAUUCAUCUCAAAAGACAAAUUACUACACUUAGAAAGAGCCCAAUUACAAAGAGAAUCAGCUAAUUUGUUAUAACCACGUUUCACCCAUUUAACCUCGAAAGAAACAAAAGAAUCAAGCAUCUUGUGAGCUCCUUAAUGCAGUGAUCAAGGAUCGUUAUGUCCUCUUUGUGAAAACUAAAGCGGUUGACAAUGCUAGCACAAUCUGUUUCAAAAAUGACAUUAUGUUUAAAGUGUUUAUUAAUUAUUUUGAAAAAUGAAAGUAUAAUAACUUUUUUGGCAUUCCAACUUUAUAAAAGAAUUAUUUUAGCUCUCUAUUUACUUUCAUUUUCUUUUAGUCUUUAAACUUAUAUUUUUUUUUGUCAAACCAUCCAAAAUGGGUGAAAAAGUUAACAUUUGUUAACUUUGUUGACAUGACAUAUAGGUAGAUUACCACGUGUAUGUCACGUUAACAAUUAAUUAUUUUAAAAAAAUAUUUAAAAAUAUUUUUUUGAAUUUUUUUAAAAAAUAAUUAAUUGCUUAUGUGGCAUAUACGUGGCAAUCCGCGUGUAUGUUACAUUAGCAAAAUCAACAUACGUUAAUUUUUCACUCAUUUUGAGGUGAUUUGACAAAAAUUACAAGUUUAAGAACUAAAAGAAACGAAAAGUUAAAUGGAGAGUUGAAAUAACUUUUUCUAUAAAGUUAGAGACCAAAAGAAUCAUUAUUGCAAAAAAAAUAGUUGUUUUUCUUCUCCUUUUUUUUGUAUUUUUAGUGCUAAAAUUCAAGAUGGUGCGGAAUAGUUUUUAAUCUUAUUAUUGUUAUAUAUGUUUUCGACCUCAUUGGAGCUAAUCUCACUGUCUAUAUAAAGAGAGCCUAAAUAUAAUUUGUUCAGCUUCUUUUAAACAAGUUAGUGCUCCUUUGUAUGAUCAUUUACCUCCCAUGAGUAAGGUUGAGUAAAUAAAAUAAAAAAAUACUUGAAAAUUGAUCCAAAUCAAGGUGUUUAGACGGUUUAUGGAAUACAAAUUAAAAAAUCACAAUUAUUCGAAACCGAACCAAAUUCUAUUCUUUAUUUUAAUUUAUAAAUAAAUUUAUUUUUAUAAUAUAAAAAUAAAUAUUUUAUAUUUAAAAAUAGUGAAAAUAAAUAAAUAUAUUUUAAAAAUAUUAUAUAAAAGUAUUUAAUUAUUUUUAUCUACUUAAAAUAAUUUUAAAAAAUAUCUAUGAAAAAAACUUUGAAAAUUUGUCAAAUGAUAUUUAAAAGCCGUAAAAUAAAGUUUAUUUUAUUAAAAUAAUUAUAAAAAUUUAUAAUAACAAAAUCGAACUAAACUAAAUUAUAAUGGACGGAUAAAAAAAUAGAAUUGAAUUAAACUAAUAUCACUUGAUUUUAUUGCACCAAACUGGACAUAAAGGAUCUUCUUAAAAAAUUUAACCUGCAAUGAGAUUGUUUUCCUCACUAUAACCUUCUAGAGGUGUUAUAUAAGUACAUAUCAUAUGAUAAUUAUAAAUUUAAUUAUUUAAUUCUUAUAAAAAUUAAAUAUAUUACAAAUUAAUAUUUAUAUAAUGAUAUAUUAAAUACAUGUAAAUUUAUUAUCAUAAAUAUAUUUUUAAUUAUUAUUUGAUAUAAAUAAUUUUAUUAUAUUUUAUUAUUUUCAUUUAUAUAAAAUAUAGUCCUUGAAUGUUGAAGUCUAAACCCAACCCUUAAACAAAGGAAUUAAAUUUAAAGUUGAGAAAGAUAUGGAUGGUAGUAAUGGGAGCAUAAGCAUGUAGAAGCAAUGCUGGCAUUUCAUCUUAUUAGCAGCUUUGGAAUAGAUUCUUAAGGAUGAGUAGGAAUCUGUAUGCUUUUUUUUUAAUUUUUAUAUUUAAAACAUUAGUUAAUUGCUAAUGUGGCAUCCAUGUGUAUGCCAUGUAAGUUUAAGGACUAAAUUGAUUUUUUCAUAAAGUUAGAAGGUUAAAUAAAUCAUUUGCCAAAAUAUAAUAGAGAACUUAAAAAAAUGAAAAUAUUUAUAUUUUAUUUUAUAUUUGUUUAAGUUUGGCCUGGUCCAAAAUAUAUACUUAAAGUUUGUUCAAAUUUGUAAACCGUUAACUCAAACUCAUUUUAAAUCCACUCAUACUAUUUUUAAAAAAAAAUUAAAUGAAUUUAUAUUAUUUUUAACUUAAUAUUUAAUAAUUUUACAUUUUUAUUAAAAAUUUAUAUAUAGUCAUCUUAAGAUUAUAAUAGUAUUAUAAUUUUUAUUUUUAUUUGUUACAAAUUACAUAACAUAUAAAAUUAACAUAAUAUAAAAUAUUGCUAACUUAAAAAUUGGGUCGGGCCCAACUUAGGCUUUGAAUAUUCAAAUUCAAGCUCGACUCAUAUUUUAAAUGGGCCUAUUUUUUAAAUUUAAUAGUUUUAUCCAAAUCUUCCAAAAUUUCAAAUGAGCCUUUGAGCUUGACAAAGAACAGUAAGUCUCUUUCCCUUUUCUUUCCCUAUUAUUUUGGCUAAACAAUACAGUAAGAUCAGCUGAUGAAGAAUGCAUACAGAUCGACUCUUCAACAAAGAAAAAGAAAGAACAAAUGUGCAUAGAGAGGAGGAUUUCAUGGGAGCACAAUUCCAUGGACAGAUCAGCUGAUGAAGAAUGCAUGUCCUGCUUUUUGGCUCUUCCAUUGAACUCAUGCUGAAAAAGAAGUUGCUUAGUUACGAGGUUACAUUAGAUCAUUUGAAAUUAUGAGAUUAUUAUGAUUUUAAAAAUGUAAAGCAAUUAAGUAAUUACCACCUAUUUGCCUGCAUCUAAAUUCUUAAACAAAUGAGGGUAGAAAGUACGAUCUCUGCUUUUUGUAUUGCAUGCUAUGCUCUGCCGAAGAAUAGAGCCACAAGCUAACAAAAAUGAAGGGUAAAAAGAUUAAUGGAAACCUUGUAGUUUUCAAAGGUGAAUAAAUAAGGACAAUUAAGAUCGGUGUUAACAGUUUUUACUAAUAUUUUGAAAACAUUUGAAAACAUUUUAAAUAAGUUAAUAUAUAUAAUAUAAAAAAUCUAUAAAAAAUUUCAAAAUUCAAUUAUUGUAAUAUAAAACUUUCAUAUCUAAAAACCCUAAAUUAAAUUAAACUAUUUCAAUUGAAUCCAACAAACAAAUUAGACCGAAAACCAAUUAAUAUGAUUGGUUCGGCCACCUAUCUAGUUUUAAAAACCUUAACCAGCACAACAUCAGUAUGUGAAUUUAAUUUCGUAUUUAUUUAAUUUGGUUAGCACAUAUUAAUAGUUUUCAUAUUCUCUUUAGUUUUUGUAUAUUGGGAUUGUGUAAAUUUUAAAAUUUUAGAUAUUUUUAUGUCCAUAUUUUGUUUUAUAAAUAUAUAGGGGUAAGCUCUCACUAAUUUUCUCAAGCUUUUAGGAGUUCCUUCUAUUGAAGCAAUAUCAUGAGCGAAUCUAUAAUCAAUAUAUAUGAGAAAGAAAAAAAAUAUAAAAAAGUAAAAUAAAAAAUGAAAAUAGAUUUGGACACUUAUGGAUGUUAUCAAACUAUUGUCUAACUCGUGUUAUGAAAAAAAAAUCACAAUUAAAAGAAUAUUGUAUGCUUCAAUGAAAGUCACAAUUUAUCUUUGAUCAUGCUUGUUUGCAACUAAGUAGCUAUAAUGUAACUACAUGUUCCUACAAACCUCGCACUAGUCGACUUUGCCCUAUGAUCCAUUAGUCGAAUUUGUGAUGUCUAUAUUUUAAUAUGCGAGGUAUUUAAAGAAAUAGAUACAUCAAUUUAUUUUUGUAGUGGAUAAAUAUAAUUAUUUAUUUACACAAUAUAUAAACAUAAAAUGAUGCCCUAUUAAUAAUUUAUGAAAAUUAGAUCAAAUUAAAAUUUCAUGUAUAAAAUUAUAUGUUAUGCCAAAGUUUAUAUGUAGUUUUGAGAUUUAUCCCAUUUUCCUAUUAACUUAGCCAUUAGCCUGAGCAUUAAAUGUUCGCUCAAAUAUGAUAGGGGACAUACUUAAAACACAUGUGUCCAUGCUAUAUAGGCAACUUUAAUCUAAUUUGUUAAAAGAAGAAGAAGAAGUAAUCCUCUUAAAUUUUAUAAUCUCAGCGUGUUUUUAAUAUGUUAGAAUCAAGUUAUCAAUAUGAUGAGUACACAAGUAUUUACAAUUUAAUCCAUGUCAAAUGAGAACAGAAAUUUAAAAUCUAAAUUGAUAGCUACGAAAAUGAAAUGAUUUUAUUGUUAUAAUAUUAAUACUUUCAAAACUUAAUUAAAAUAUUUUAUAAUUUAUAAAUUAAUUUUAAAAAAAUUAAUUAAUAAAUUGAGAAUAUUUAAUACAAAUAACUUCUUAUAUGAAUAUAAAUAAUUAUAACACAUUUAUUAUUAAAUGAAAAUAAUGUUGUUUGGUUGGAAAUGGUCCCACCAUAUUUUACGUUUGGGGAACAAAGCGACGGUGUUUUGGUUGGAGAAGAAGGAAGUAACGUCGUUAAGUACAUCGUUUUGUUUAUCUUUAUUUUAAAUUUGUUUUCUCGUUUUCUAUUUGACGCCGCUAAUAUUCUUUUUUGAGUAAACUAUAUUAAAAGUCAUUCAACUAGUUAAAAAGUUACAAAAUGAUCACCAAAUUAUUAAUAAUUUCUUUUACCUAAUUAUGAAAAGUUAUAAAAUAAUAAAUUUUUAUUAUUAUUUAGCGCAUACGAGUAUUUGUUAUUUUUUUCUUUGAAUUUUUCAUUUAUUCAUUAAAUGAAUUAAUAAAUUUCUCUUUAAAAAAUUUACUCGGGGCAGAACAUAACAAGAGUCAAAGCUUCAGCUUGUAAUAUUGGCUUGUGCCAUGAUAGGCCUUUAUAAGGUGUUGUUCAACUUAUAAUUUGAUGUGUGCCAACAUAAGCAUCAACACACAAGUCAUGUAUAUACAGCCAAGACAUCGACAUCUUUUGGAAGAGUCCUAGUCCAAGCAUCAUAAUUGAACAUAGCCUUGGAAUACCGUCAAAAACAAUUAUUGUCUCAUAAUCAAUUGUGCAUCCCUGCAUUUGAAUACUAUUUGGAANNNNNNNNNNNNNNNNNNNNNNNNNNNNNNNNNNNNNNNNNNNNNNNNNNNNNNNNNNNNNNNNNNNNNNNNNNNNNNNNNNNNNNNNNNNNNNNNNNNNNNNNNNNNNNNNNNNNNNNNNNNNNNNNNNNNNNNNNNNNNNNNNNNNNNNNNNNNNNNNNNNNNNNNNNNNNNNNNNNNNNNNNNNNNNNNNNNNNNNNNNNNNNNNNNNNNNNNNNNNNNNNNNNNNNNNNNNNNNNNNNNNNNNNNNNNNNNNNNNNNNNNNNNNNNNNNNNNNNNNNNNNNNNNNNNNNNNNNNNNNNNNNNNNNNNNNNNNNNNNNNNNNNNNNNNNNNNNNNNNNNNNNNNNNNNNNNNNNNNNNNNNNNNNNNNNNNNNNNNNNNNNNNNNNNNNNNNNNNNNNNNNNNNNNNNNNNNNNNNNNNNNNNNNNNNNNNNNNNNNNNNNNNNNNNNNNNNNNNNNNNNNNNNNNNNNNNNNNNNNNNNNNNNNNNNNNNNNNNNNGCAGGCCCAUAUUUCUAAUUUUUUAUUUUUUAACUUUUUUGUACUAUUUUGAUAAAUAAAAAAAGUAAACUAUUUUGAUAUUUUUUUAAUUUUUUUGUAUUAUUUUAGUAAAAAUCCCGUGUUAUUCAGCUUGUAAUUUGAUUGUGCCAACAUAAGCAUCAACACACAAGUCAUGUAUAUACAGCCAGGACAUCGACAUCUUUUGGAAGAGUCCUAAUCCAAGCAUCAUAAUUGAACAUAGCCUUGGAAUACAGUCAAAAACAAUUAUUGUCUCAUAAUCGAUUGUGCAUCCCUGCAUUUGAACACUGUUUGGAACAUUAAAAUUGCGUUUUUUCCUGAGUUGGUACAUAUUAUGCAACAAGGAAAAUAAAGAACACAAUUAAGAUGUUUACGCAGUUUGAAACUCAUCCUACGUCUGCGGGGCUUUGCCCAAAUAUGACUCCACUAUGAACUUCAUAGUACAGAGAAAUGAUUCAAGCUUAACCUCUCAAACACUUGAUGCAAUCUCACUUUUGCACAAUUAAGUAAAUUAUUUCUCAACUCAUUUUAGCUAUGCAAGUGAAAAUUCACAUUCAACACUCAGAUGGUUUUCUUACUAUGAAUCAAGCACUUAAUAAGCUCCAUGUAAAGUGAAAUAAAUCAAGCACUUAAUAAGCUCCAUGUAAAGUGAAAUAAUAAAUUUUCAAAUGCAGUAUGUCUGGCAAUUGUCAUGCUUGAACAACGACUCUUCCAAAAGCAUCAAUGAACCUGAAAAUUAUAAAUGCCAACAUAGAAUAUGUUACAAAUCCCAUUAUUAUCAGCCUUAUAAUUGCACAUAUGUGUGUUUAGUAUAAUGUUGUUGAUAUAUAAAUAAUGAAACAUUUUAUCAACUUCAACCUCACCACCAAAUAUUCUGAAGCAUCUUCCUUUUUUUUCCUGUUUGGACCUUCAAUAGUAAAUUUGGCUGGAAUUCUAAAAAGAUAAAAGAGUGCCCUGCAUCAAUGAAUAUUAUGAAUUUGAAUACCUCCAAAAGCCUGUCAGUAUCACAGGUACCAUCUAAAAUAGUAAUCAGUUGGCAUAUAUUAAGAGAAAACAUAAAUAUAUAUAAAGAUAUGAUGGGUAAGUGCUUAAAUGAAGAAAGCAGAGCAUAUAGUACAACCAUUUUGAAGGCUUCAUAGGCCUCUCUCUCCACAUCAAUGAUUUUUUAGAAUUAAAUUAUUAGAAGCAAUUGUCAAGUUAUUAUUAUGAUUUAAAAGUAAAAAGCAAAUAGAUAAAUUAGCACUCUUUUUAUGCAUAUAAAAUGAUUGAAGUUGACUAAUGCCUUUCUCCAAUGCCUUACUGCACAAAUCAGCAAAAAUAUUAUGAAAGAUGAUAAGUAAAAAGUAGGAUGAAAACAAAGGGAUUUUAACAAGGAAAUUAACAGUAUCCAACUUCAAUGAAAAAUGGCAUCAGACCCCUCACUUGGAGAUUCAAUAUACCACUCAUAUUUUUCUUCAAAAAAAGAUAAGGUCAUCAAAAUAAAUAAAUAACAAGGACGGACCAACCUGAAUCAACUCAAUGUCGGGGAUGUGAGCAAUCUUAUGCCAAUCAGCGCCACUGUCCUUCCGACAUCUUUCCUCCAACUGAGGAAUUCUUUCCAUAAAUAACAUUUGCAAAUUGGUUAGGCAACGCAUCUCGUCUGGAAGAGAUGUUAAAUUGGGCAAAUUAACGAGAAAAAGCCGUUGCAGAUUUGUUAGAUGUUGAAGCCACUCCGGAAGAUGCCGACACUUUGGAAUAUUUUGCAGCUGUAGAAAGCGUAGGCUUGUAUGAUCUUGGAAUAUUUGGAUGCCAGCCCCAGAUAACUCCAGCUCCUUGCAGUCCAUUACUAAAAAGUCUUCAAGGGAAGUGAGAUGUUGGAACACAGGAAGCAGUGACCUCAAUCCAUUGCAGUUAUGAAUUUUUAAUGUUUUCAAUUGAACAAGAUGUUGAAGCCCAAUGGGGAGAGACACCAGCUUUGGAAUAUUAUCAAUCUCCAAAUGAGAGAGAUUCUUAAGGGGUUCCCAUUGCAUGCCCUCUAAAUCAACCUCCUUGCAAUCUUCUAUUGUUAAUCUUUUGAGGCUGGUGAGAUGUUGCAGGCAUUCAUCUAGCGUGUGAGUGUCCAACCCCUCAAUCUUGUGUACAUCGAAAGAUUUCAAUUUGGAGAGUGGAAGAGAAGAGGUUGAAGUUAAUGGGGCCUUAGCAUUGAUGUUCAUCUUGAUAGUCUGCUUUAACGGCCUUGAACUGGUAUUCGACAACAUUAGAUCUUCAUCGAGUGAUGGAUACAGCGGCAUUGAUGUCAAAGGGCAAUUUUCAAUUGUUAAAGAGGAAAGACAAGGAAAUCCCAUGGUUGAUGUUCCCAUAACUGUUGUGUCGUCCUCGUUGGAAUCAUCAUCGAUUGGUUUUGUCGUCCUCCACCAACUCAUCAUAUUCGGACAGUACCGGAGCGAAAGAUGCUUAAGUGAUGGGAAGAAUGAUUGUGGUUCUCCUUGACUUCCUUUUGGGCUAUUAUCAUCCAUGUACUCCAGCUCAGUUAAAUUAGAAAUCACCAGCCCUUUAAGACAAGGAAAUUGCACAAAGGACGGGAUUUGUUUGAAAUUACCCUGAUGUAUUGUCAUAUAAACGAGAUUUGUUAGAAAAGAAAGCCAACUUGGAAACUUGGCAUCACUCCUCCAUCCUCGAAUACAGAGCUCCUUGAGAUUAGGAUGGGGUUGGAGGUCUUCAAGUGAUUUAUCAUCAUCAUAUUCAUCAUCGUUAAAAUCAAAAUAAAAUUUCCAUUCUAAAAGCAACGAUCUCAAAUGUUGCUUCUCUUUCAAAUUAGCAGCCUUAAACUUCUCUUUUGCAUUUUUUACGAAUCCCAAAUUUCUUAUUUCUAGCUCUCCCCUUAAAUUGUUAAGCAGUCUCAAUUCACUUAGAUCUGCACCGCCAUGGGACCCAUCUUUAUCCACUACAAACAUGCUUAACGUCUCAAGUGAAGUCAGCUUCCCUAUUCCACGUGGCAUAUGAGUUAAACUCAAACAGCCUUCACACCCAAUAUGGGUAAGAUUCACCAAUUUUUCAAUCUUCUUUGGCAAUUCUUGAAGCCCAUCACACCAGUCAAGUUUCAGCGCUAGCAAAUUCUGAAUCUUGCAAAUACUCUUUGGGAGAAUCUUAAUAUUGAAAUUCCAAGAAAGAUCAAGGUACCUCAAAUGUUUCAACUUACAAAUGGAGGGUGAAAUCUUUCGAAUACCCAUAGAAUCCAAUUUCAAUACACGCAAGCAUCCACAAUUUGCAAUUAUCAAAUCCCAAGUUUCAUCACUCAAUUUUUGAUCGUUGUUG
rnacentral:lncRNA from 1 species